rnacentral:rRNA from 1 species
AUAUAAAUAAGCGGAGGAAAAGAAACUAACUAGGAUUGACGUAGUAAGGGCGACUGAACUGUCAUGAGCUCACCGUGUGAAUCUGCGUACGCAAGUGCGCCGAAUUGUGGUCUGGAGGUGCGUGCACUAUUGCGCUGGGCAAAGUCCCUUGGAAGAGGGCAGCAUAGAGGGUGAUACUCCCGUUUGCUCGGUGCUUGGAGCGUGUACCGAAGAGUCGAGUUGUUUGGGAUUGCAGCUCAAAGCCGGUGGUAAAUUCCAUCGAAAGCUAAAUAUUGGUGGGAGACCGAUAGCGCACAAGUA